rnacentral:rRNA from 1 species
GGUUCGAUUAUGGCUCAGAUUGAACGCUGGCGGGAUGCUUUUACACAUGCAAAAGUCGAACGGCAGCACGGACUUCGGUCUGGUGGCGAGUGGCGAACGGGUGAGUAAUGUAUCGGAACGUGCCUGCAGUGGUGGAUAACUACGCGAAAGCGUAAAGUACCACCGCCAUUGCCCUUCGGGGGAAAGCGGGGACCUUCGGGCCUCGCACUAUUAGAGCGGCCGAUAUCGGAUUAGCUAGUUGGUGGGGUAACGGCUCACCAAGGCGACGAUCCGUAGCUGGUUUGAGAGGACGACUCGGCCACACUGGGACCGAGACACGGCCCAGACUACGGGAGGCAGCAGUGAAUUUUGGACAAUGGGGGAAGCCCUGAUCCAGCCAUCUCAAGCGUGCGAUGAAGGCCUUGGUUGUAAAGCACUUUGGCAGGAAAGAAAACGGCACGAUAAUACCCGUGCAACUGACGGUACCUGCAGGAAGGUAAGCACCUCGGCUAACUACGUGCCAGCAGCCGCGGUAAUACGUAGGGUGCAAGCGUUAAUCGGAAUUACUGGGCGCAAGCGUGCGCAGGCGGUUCGGAAAGAAAGAUGAAAUCCCAGAGCUUAACUUUGGAACUGCAUUUUUAAUCACCGAGCUAGAGUGUGUCAGAGGAGGUGGAAUUCCGCGUGUAGCAGUGAAAUGCGUAGAUAUGCGGAGGAACACCGAUGGCGAAGGCAGCCUCCUGGGAUAACACUGACGCUCAUGCACGAGAGCGGGGAGCAAAACAGGAUUAGAUACCCUGGUAGUCCAUACGCCCUAAACGAUGUCAACUAGCUGUUGGGGCCUUCUGGCCCUGGUAGCGCAGCUAACGCGUGAAGUUGACCGCCUGGGGAGUACGGUCGCAAGAUUAAAACUCAAAGGAAUUGACGGGACCCGCACAAGCGGUGGAUGAUGUGGAUUAAUUCGAUGCAACGCGAAAAACCUUACCUACCCUUGACAUGUCUGGAAUCCCGAAGAGAUUUGGGAGUGCUCGCAAGAGAACCGGAACACAGGCGUUGUACGGCUGUCGCCGUCUGUGUCGUGAGAUGUUGGGUUAAGUCCCGCAACGAGCGCAACCCUUUGUCAUUAGUUGCUACGAAAGGGCACUCUAUCGAGACUGCCGGUGACAAACCGAGGAAGGUGGGGAUGACGUCAAGUCCUCAUGGCCUUAUGGGUAGGGCUUCGACACUGUCAUACAAUGGUCGGGACAGAGGGUCGCUAACCCGCGAGGGGGAGCCAAUCCCAGAAACCCGAUCGUAGUCCGGAUCGCAGUCUGCAACUCGACUGCGUGAAGUCGGAAUCGCUAGUAAUCGCGGAUCAGCAUGCCGCGGUGAAUACGUUCCCGGGUCUUGUACACACCGCCCGUCACACCAUGGGAGUGGGUUUUACCAGAAGUAGUUAGCCUAACCGUAAGGAGUGCUGAUUACCACGGUAGGAUUCAUGACUGGGGUGAAGUCGUAACAAGGUAA